rfam:Oryza sativa (indica cultivar-group) chromosome 6, whole genome shotgun sequence.
AAAAACUCAAUUUUUGGGUUUCCAUGUCUAACGUUUGACCGUCCGUUUUAUUUAAAAAAAUAUUAAAAAAUUAAAAAGAUAAGUCAUGAAUAAAAUAUUAUUCAUGUUUUAUUAUCUAACAAUAAUAAAAAUACUAAUAAAAAAAUUUCAUAUAAAACGGACGAUCAAACGUUGACGCGGAAAGUCGGAAACCCAGAAA